AUACGGAGGAUCCGAGCGUUAUCCGGAUUUAUUGGGUUUAAAGGGUGCGCAGGCGGCCAUUUAAGUCAGCGGUUAAAUCGUGGGGCUCAACCCCAUUCUGCCGUUGAUACUGGGUGGCUUGAUUGCGGUCGAGGUUGGCGGAAUUCGUUGUGUAGCGGUGAAAUGCAUAGAUAUGACGAAGAACACCGAUUGCGUAGGCAGCUGACCAGACCGCAAAUGACGCUCAUGCACGAAAGUGCGGGGAUCGAACAGGAUUAGAUACCCUGGUAGUCCGCACAGUAAACGAUGAACACUUGUUUUCGGCGAUAUAAUGUCGGAGGCAAAGCGAAAGCGAUAAGUAUUCCACCUGGGGAGUACGCCGGCAACGGUGAAACUCAAAUGAAUUGACGGGG
rnacentral:rRNA from 1 species